GAUGAACGCUGGCGGCGUGCCUAAUACAUGCAAGUCGAGCGAACAGACGAGGAGCUUGCUCCUCUGACGUUAGCGGCGGACGGGUGAGUAACACGUGGAUAACCUACCUAUAAGACUGGGAUAACUUCGGGAAACCGGAGCUAAUACCGGAUAAUAUAUUGAACCGCAUGGUUCAAUAGUGAAAGACGGUUUUGCUGUCACUUAUAGUUGGAUCCGCGCUGCAUUAGCUAGUUGGUAAGGUAACGGCUUACCAAGGCAACGAUGCGUAGCCGACCUGAGAGGGUGAUCGGCCACACUGGAUCUGAGACACGGUCCAGACUCCUACGGGAGGCAGCAGUAGGGAAUCUUCCGCAAUGGGCGAAAGCCUGACGGAGCAACGCCGCGUGAGUGAUGAAGGUCUUCGGAUCGUAAAACUCUGUUAUUAGGGAAGAACAAAUGUGUAAGUAACUAUGCACGUCUUGACGGUACCUAAUCAGAAAGCCACGGCUAACUACGUG
rnacentral:rRNA from 1 species